rnacentral:tRNA from 1 species
GCGGGCGUAACUCAGCAGGUAGAGUGGAAGCUUCCCAAGCUUCAGGUCGCGGGUUCGAGUCCCGUCGCCCGCUCCA